rnacentral:rRNA from 1 species
UGUGCCAGCCGCCGCGGUAAUACGUAGGGUGCGAGCGUUGUCCGGAAUUACUGGGCGUAAAGGGCUCGUAGGUGGUUUGUCGCGUCGUCUGUGAAAUUCCGGGGCUUAACUCCGGGCGUGCAGGCGAUACGGGCAUAACUUGAGUACUGUAGGGGUAACUGGAAUUCCUGGUGUAGCGGUGAAAUGCGCAGAUAUCAGGAGGAACACCGAUGGCGAAGGCAGGUUACUGGGCAGUUACUGACGCUGAGGAGCGAAAGCAUGGAUAGCGAACAGGAUUAGAU